UACAGAGGGUGCAAGCGUUAAUCGGAAUUACUGGGCGUAAAGCGUGCGCAGGCGGUUAUGCAAGACAGAUGUGAAAUCCCCGGGCUCAACCUGGGAACUGCAUUUGUGACUGCAUAGCUAGAGUACGGUAGAGGGGGAUGGAAUUCCGCGUGUAGCAGUGAAAUGCGUAGAUAUGCGGAGGAACACCGAUGGCGAAGGCAAUCCCCUGGACCUGUACUGACGCUCAUGCACGAAAGCGUGGGGAGCAAACAGG
rnacentral:rRNA from 1 species